rnacentral:rRNA from 1 species
AGAAUCAACGCUGGCGGCGUGCCUAACACAUGCAAGUCGCACGAGAAAGGGACUUCGGUCCUGAGUAAAGUGGCGCACGGGUGAGUAACACGUGACUAAUCUACCCUCGAGUGGGGAAUAACCUAGGGAAACCUGGGCUAAUACCGCAUAACACUUACGAGUCAAAGCAGCAAUGCGCUUGGGGAGGAGGUCGCGGCAGAUUAGUUAGUUGGCGGGGUAAUGGCCCACCAAGACGAUGAUCUGUAUCCGGCCUGAGAGGGCGCACGGACACACUGGAACUGAAACACGGUCCAGACUCCUACGGGAGGCAGCAGUGGGGAAUUUUGCGCAAUGGGGGAAACCCUGACGCAGCAACGCCGCGUGGAGGAUGAAGUCUCUUGGGACGUAAACUCCUUUCGACAGGGACGAUAAUGACGGUACCUGUAGAAGAACGCCCGGCUAACUUCGCGCCAGCAGCCGC